UUGUACAAUUGGUUAGAUUUUAUUUGUUUGUUAUUAGCUUUUAAUUUUUGUUGUGUAACAUUUCAACUUGAUUACUUGUGAUUCAAUGCUUGUAUUAUUAUUAAUAUCAAGUAAUUAUGUAUUUGAAACAUUUAGUGCAUUGUUGUUGGUGAUUGUUCAGUAACAAUUUGGGUUAUUACAGGUUCGACUUGGACUUCGAUACAAAACAAAAAAGGACAAAGCUGAGGACGAAAUGAAAGUAAAGAAAGUAAAAUGGAUAAAGAAGAAUGCGAAGAAGAUUUAACAUAAGUUAAGUUGUUCAUUAAAGAGGUCGCAUUUCCUUCAUUUUUCACACACAACAUGCAAGUUAAUUGGCCUCAAUGAACCUCAUCAUCAUCAUCAUUAUUAUCCUUAUCUUUGUCGUCGUCUUCGGCUAACAUCGUAGAUAUGCUAAUGGACAAUCAGUACUUUUACCUGGACACACAAGCAGAAGCAGUUGAAGACAAAAAUGCAUACGUUAAAAAACUUUUGUCCAUUUUAUUAGCAACCUUAAUCAUUGUUGAGUUUUUAUGGUUAAAAAACAAUCUGCUCGAAUGGACCAAUUGGUUAGAUAAAAGAAAGAUGACCGUCAUCAUUAUCAAGACCAUCAUCAUAUUACCGAAAGGUGACAAAUGAGGAGAAACUCAAUAAUCCAGUUGACAUUGAAUACAAACACAUUCACAUUUGGAACACAUUUUAUUGUUAUUGUUAUUACACUUGACCACCCUGAUGGCAAUUUGGCUUAAUCACAAUAUAAUCGAUCGUUUAGAUAAUUCAAUUAUCCCGUUAUAAUCAAUCGUUAUAAUUCAAAAUUAUAAUCUUAGGCAACAAAUUAACUUCCGUCCGAAACUACCAUUUAGUCAAUCACUACUGAACAUCUUCAAUAAUGGCAAUGAUAAUAAUAGUUGGUGGAUAAAUGCGUGUUGACAAUCAUCACCCUCAAUAUUGAUUGUAUCCUUAAACUGUUUUUUCAUCCAUUAUGAAAUUACAUGAUUCAACCUCAGCUAGUUUGGUAUAAUCUCAUUGAUUAAUAUUUACAAUUUUAUUGUUUCGCCUCUAGUAACAAUCAAAUAAUGAUUGUGAAAAACAGCUAAUAAUAAUACACUUAAACCAACUGUUUAAAUUUUUCUACCAUGUUACAUGUGAUUUUUGCUAUAACAGUAAUUGUUGUACUCUUCCUAUAAUCAUUGAGAUUCUUCCGUCUUGAUUAAUAUUUAGUGUUUACUAAUUGUAACCAUUUCUCACAUGAUUAUGUUGACGAUUAUUUGAUUCUUGUUAAUUAAUCUUGACAUGUUGUUGCUUUGUUGUAACGUUCGUAAACGUUCAACCUUUUUUAAAUAUAUGUAUUUAUAACAAUUUAUAAUACAAUUACAGAUUGUUAAUUUACAAUUUAAAGACAAAAGUGCGAUCAACAAUGAGAAUCUGGUUUUCACAUGGAAAUGGUUAAUCUGAUUAAGAUAAUGUAUAAUGACCAAGAAAGACUUUAAUUAAUGAUAAAUUGAUUCAAAACAACUCACAAUUCAACCUUUUUCCUGUUUUCAUUAAUGACACUGAGAACCCACAAGAUAUUGAUAUUUAAUUGUGUGAUAAUUUUGAUUCACAGAGCAAAGAAACCAGCUUCCAAACAAUUAAUAUAACAAGUAAAUUGAAAGAUUCCCAAAGUGUAUCAAUGGAAACAUCCAAGGAUUACCUUCAACAUGAUUAACUUGAUCAAUAAAGUGGAUAAACAGAAUCACCUUUACACAAACACCAUUAAUCUAAUCACAAACUAAACAAAUUAGCUAAUUCUAUCGUCCAAGAUUCAAAUUUACAUUUCCAUUUCAAUAUUCAGACAGAAUUGGUCAACAAAUUAAACCAAUGACAAUGAUUGAGGUUCAAGUUUAGACACUUUAA